UUAAAUUGAAGAGUUUGAUCAUGGCUCAGAUUGAACGCUGGCGGCAGGCCUAACACAUGCAAGUCGAACGGUAACAGGAAGCAGCUUGCUGCUUUGCUGACGAGUGGCGGACGGGUGAGUAAUGUCUGGGAAACUGCCUGAUGGAGGGGGAUAACUACUGGAAACGGUGGCUAAUACCGCAUGACGUCGCAAGACCAAAGAGGGGGACCUUCGGGCCUCUUGCCAUCAGAUGUGCCCAGAUGGGAUUAGCUUGUUGGUGAGGUAACGGCUCACCAAGGCGACGAUCCCUAGCUGGUCUGAGAGGAUGACCAGCCACACUGGAACUGAGACACGGUCCAGACUCCUACGGGAGGCAGCAGUGGGGAAUAUUGCACAAUGGGCGCAAGCCUGAUGCAGCCAUGCCGCGUGUAUGAAGAAGGCCUUCGGGUUGUAAAGUACUUUCAGCGGGGAGGAAGGUGUUGUGGUUAAUAACCACAGCAAUUGACGUUACCCGCAGAAGAAGCACCGGCUAACUCCGUGCCAGCAGCCGCGGUAAUACGGAGGGUGCAAGCGUUAAUCGGAAUUACUGGGCGUAAAGCGCACGCAGGCGGUCUGUCAAGUCGGAUGUGAAAUCCCCGGGCUCAACCUGGGAACUGCAUUCGAAACUGGCAGGCUUGAGUCUUGUAGAGGGGGGUGGAAUUCCAGGUGUAGCGGUGAAAUGCGUAGAGAUCUGGAGGAAUACCGGUGGCGAAGGCGGCCCCCUGGACAAA
rnacentral:rRNA from 1 species